rnacentral:rRNA from 1 species
UACGUAGGGUGCAAGCGUUGUCCGGAAUUAUUGGGCGUAAAGAGCUCGUAGGCGGUCUGUCGCGUCUGCUGUGAAAACUCGGGGCUUAACCCCGGGCCUGCAGUGGGUACGGGCAUACUAGAGUGCGGUAGGGGAGACUGGAAUUCCUGGUGUAGCGGUGAAAUGCGCAGAUAUCAGGAGGAACACCGGUGGCGAAGGCGGGUCUCUGGGCCGUAACUGACGCUGAGGAGCGAAAGCGUGGGGAGCGAACAGG